CUCGCGCCCGCCACUGCCAAGGACCCACCUUCCUCCCUCUGCCGAACUGUUGCUGAGUUUAUUCCAUGAUGCGAUCGCCUUCUUCAUCAACAACGAUUUCCGAUCAGUGCCGAUACAGCUAUGUUUUUCACCGAGGCAUCAACACUUGCAAAUUGUUAUAACAGUUUCACUAAAUAGGCAAUGCAGAGAUAUAAAAAUUACUUGAUCUUUUUUAACUAAUAAUUUUAUAUCUUUGUAUCUAAGGUCCUGUCCAUUAUUGCUUCAGCCAAAGCGUCAUGUUGAAUGUAUUCUUACAAUGACUAAAACUGUGACAAGGCAAGCUUUUGAAGAGAUAGUGAAUACUUUAGAAAUCCGAUACGAUAAUGUCUAUUAGCUUGAACAAUAACAUGUAGUUCAACGAAAGCUUCAUGUUCAAUGUAUUCUUGCAAUGGCUACAACUGAGACAAACCAAGCUUUAGAGCAGAUAGUGAAUACCUUAGAAAUCCAAUAUGAUCAUCUCUGUUACACUGAACAACAACAUGUAGGCUAUUUUCUCUCUUGCUAUCUUGAUUGCAGAUGUAAUGGUGGUCCUUUUUUUAAGAUGAUAAAUGUGCUGAUCAUUGUCCAUAGCCAAGCUACAAUGUGCUUCACUGAAACUAUUUCUGCUAAUCUUUGUUAGACUGAACUAUAACAUGUAGACUAUUUUCUCUCCUGCUAUCUUGAUUGCAGCUCUAAUGGUGGUCCUUUUUUUUUUAAGAUGAUAAAUGUGCUGCAUGUAGGCUAUUUUCUCUCCUGCUAUCUUGAUUACAGCUGUAAUGGUAGUCCUUUUUUUUUAGAUGAUAAAUGUGCUGAUCUGUCCAUAGCUAAGCUACAAUGUGCUUCACUGAAACUGUUUGUGCUAAUACAAUUCCUGUAAUCUGUAAUGGUGGUCCUUUUUUUAGAUGAUAAAUAUGUUGAUCAUUGUCCAUAGAUAAACUACAAUGUGCUUAACUGAAACUAUUUCUGCUAAUGCAACAAUGUGCUGACUAUUGUCCAUAGCUAAAGUACAAUGUGUUGCUAAGCACUAUUCAUGCAGGAUAUGUUCAAAUACAUGUAUGUUUACUUAGUUGAUAGAUACCACUGACCACAAUUUAUACACCAUAUAUGCAAAUACAUGUAUGUUUACUCUAUCCAAUAUGAUAAUUUCUGCUACACUAAAACUAUUUCUACUGAUACAAUUCGUCUAAUCAUUUACCAAAUAAAACCAUUUGACCCUUUCCAGUUUAAUAACAGGGAAAAAAAACUGGUGAGCAUAUGUCCAAACAUGUCUAUUUCUACUGAUACAAUACAUGUAAUGAUUUAAUGAAUUAAACCAUUUGAUCUUUUCCUGUUUAGUGACAGGGAAAAAAAAUGCUGCUGAGCACUAUCCAUACUGCAUAUCUCCAAAUACAUGUCUGUUUACUCCAGCCUCAUAUAUAUAUAUAUAUACAUAUACAUAUACAUAUACAUAUAUAUAUAUAUAUAUGUUAUGUGCAUAUAGAAUUUCCAUUUUAGAAUUUACGGUUUACCUUAAUAGUUUGAUCCUUUACUGUUUAGUAACAGGGGAAAAAAUGCUGAUGAGCACUGUUCAUACUAUAUAUCUCCAAAUACAUGUCUGUUUACUCCAGCCUCAUCUAUAUAUAUAUAUAUAUAUGUUAUGUGUGUGUAGAAUUUCCAUUUUAGAAUUAACGGUUUACCUUAAUAGUUGAUAGAUACCACAGACUACUAUCUAUAUGAAUUUACGGUUUACCUUAAUAGUUUGAUCCUUGCCUGUUUAGUAACAGGGGAAAAAAAAUUGACGCUGAGCACUAUCCAUACCGCAUAUCUCCAAAUACAUGUCUGUUUACUCCAGCCUCAUCUAUAUAUGUCUUAUGUGUGUAUAGAAUUUUCAUUUUAGAAUUUACGGUUUACCUUAAUAGUUGAUAGAUACCACAGACUACUAUCUAUAUAUCACAUGUCCUAAUACAUGUAUGAUUGCUCCAGUAAGUUCCAAAUGAUAGCUGGCUACUGUUCUAUGCUACUUAGUUAUAUACAUGUCAUCAAGUCGUAGAUCUCGCACGCGACGGCGUGUGCGAAGCCGCUCUCUUUCACCUCCAAUGAACAUGCCAGCUAUCAACUAUCCAGAACCUGCUACAACACCUGUUUCUAUUUCAUAUGUACAACCAGACUACCAGGAAGUACAUAAUGCAAUAACAAGGGAUUAUUUCUGUCCCAUUGUACCACCGCAUAUAGCUACACAGAAUCGCAAGAAAAGAAAACGUUCGAACUACUUCAAAGCUCUAGCGUAACAAGCUUCAGCAACUGGGAUACCGUUCUAUUCAUUACAAGAUACAUUUGGAUCAUUGAAAGAAUAUACAAAUUUCCUCAAAG